AUGGGUGAGCGAUUCCAACGGGUUGUUUGCUUCGUGUUUGUAUCCCUUACAUUGAAUGCAAUCAUUCUAACCUCUGAGACCUCUAAUGCUGAGGAAAGAAAUUGCGGGCAUUUCAUCUCCCUUGUACUCAGAGUUUGUCACCAAACAAUUAAACUUUCUGAACAGGCAUCAUUCUUCAUUGCCGAUUUCAACUCUGACCCAUUGGCACCUGUUUUGAUUCAAUCCUUACACGACUCGUUGAUCCCGACAGUUUUGACGACUCACUACUGCAACUUACCGAUUUUCAUCGAACAAACUCAGGUGAGGCAUAUUUUAUUCUUCCUGGAUGAUAUCGAGGAGAUAACAAGUCUGAUCCUAAGUUCAGCUUCGAGGGAAAUGAGAUAUGGAGAGGAUUGUAGGUACAAAGGAACGCAACAUCAAAAUUCAAUUUCUGCCGUCGGCCAUCUUCAUAAUUAUGAGCCUUACAAGCUCUCAAAACUGCCGCGCUACUGCGUUACUGUCGAUAAUUAUUCCCAACCAACGGCGAAUAAGAUUUGUGAUGAGCGACUUUUCAUCUCGUCGGAAGAACUGAACGGAUCUUCUGUUUUGUCCGAUCACACUUUUAACAAGACGCGCAGUCUGUACACUAACCCAAUCUGGAACUCGAACAAUUACCUGAUUUUCAUGCUCAGAGAUUUCGGCCGGGAUGACUGUAAACCCCCGACACAGCACCAUGCUGCGAUUUCGCUGAACGAAACCUCUAAAAACGAUUUCGAGGAACUGAUUCUUUGCUUCAAAUUUAUUUGGCGGUUCUUCCGCGGGCUGAAAACAAUAAUCUGCCAAGAUAAAGGCUGCAGUCGAUACGACCCUUUCGCCGAGGAUAUAAUUUGGUACACUGGCAAAGACCACGAGGUUUAUUUCGAUUUCUCCGUCACCAACAUGCGCGGGAAACCUCUCAAUGUGAUCCUGGACGAUUCCACCGGUCACAUAGUCAUGGAUUGGCAAUUCCUAAUGCGGAUGAUGAAUGUCCAGCACGAAAUCCUCGAGCAUCUGGCGAAAUCGAUGAACGGCACUUGCCAUGUUUACAGCGGAUUCAGAUCCCAGGAGACCCAUCACGAAGUAGGCCAAAAACUCAACGUGGACUUGCAUCAGGUACUUAUAGGCGUGAAUGACCACGAGGCUGAUCCCGCGAGGUUCGACUUCGCUGUCGCAUUCGAGACAGAGGCCGUUUGCAUACUCACCCCUCACAGUAAACCUUUACCUCAAUUUUUGGUUCUGUCAACAGUCUUCACCUUCCCGGUCUGGGCUCUAUUCGGAACCACAGUCAUCACCUUCGUCCUCGUGCAAUAUAUUUUCCUCAAAGCUCAGGUCAGAUUGUUUCGUGCCUUGUACUCAGAGACAGACAUUUCUCUGUACAACGAGACAUCGUCGGUUUACACUGUGUACGCGUACUUCAUUUGUGGGAGCCCGCCGCGUUUGCUCCUGGGAAGGUUUUUCACCGGGAAGAUCCUGUUCUUCAUUUUCAUUUUUUCGGCCUUGAUCAUCUCAACCGUUUUCCUGAGCGGCAUGACGACGCUGAUGACAAGCACGGUACGGUACCCGGAGAUCGACACGUUGAAGGACUUGGAGGAAUCUGAUCUGUACAUCCAAGUGACCGAUCAUCAACCGACAAUUAUGUAUUUCGCUCAGCUGGGUUUGUCCGAGAGAUUGAGAGGCAAGCUAGCUUCCAAUCUGGAGCAGUAUUUGCUUCAGUUCGAUUUCGAGGCAGACGGAGCAAUCUUCGACUUGGUGCGCGAACUAAAAUAUGAACAUCUCAUCGAUAAAAAGAAUUAUUCUUCCGUUUUCACGACUCCUUUUUAUGAGAGUUUCGCAGCUAAUAUGCGCGUGAUUAUGGAAAAUGAUGCGUUUUUAGUUUCCGUGCCGGCUUCUCUCAGCUUAGGGAACCGUAUUGUCUUGCGCAAGUGGCCGCUUCUGGAAAAGAUUGAGUAUCAUCUCGUGGCGGAGUGUUUGAAGGCGCAUGCUUACUUUCCGCCGUUUUUGAAAAAUUCGUUUUUGUUCGACAAGUACAAUCAAAUUACUGCCCAAUAUCUGGAGUCUGGUCUUGCCAAGAUAUGUUCGGAUUCAGAACCCUAUAUUGACGCACUGGAAGCGGCACCACUCUCUCCAGAAGAUGAGGAACCGAGGCCAUAUAGUUUGGAGGAUUUGCAGCUGUCGUUUUUAAGUCUCGGUUUAGGUUUAUUCAUAAGUCUUCUUGUUUUUAUCGCCGAGAUGGUAAUCGAAGAUUUUGAAAACGCUUUUGCUUUCAGGCAAUUAAGGCGUUUUAAAAAUUAUUUCUCGGCCAAUAAAAAUUAA
rnacentral:lncRNA from 1 species